rnacentral:rRNA from 1 species
AAAUUGAAGAGUUUGAUCAUGGCUCAGAUUGAACGCUGGCGGCAGGCCUAACACAUGCAAGUCGAACGGUAACAGGAAGCAGCUUGCUGCUUUGCUGACGAGUGGCGGACGGGUGAGUAAUGUCUGGGAAACUGCCUGAUGGAGGGGGAUAACUACUGGAAACGGUAGCUAAUACCGCAUAACGUCGCAAGACCAAAGAGGGGGACCUUCGGGCCUCUUGCCAUCGGAUGUGCCCAGAUGGGAUUAGCUAGUAGGUGGGGUAACGGCUCACCUAGGCGACGAUCCCUAGCUGGUCUGAGAGGAUGACCAGCCACACUGGAACUGAGACACGGUCCAGACUCCUACGGGAGGCAGCAGUGGGGAAUAUUGCACAAUGGGCGCAAGCCUGAUGCAGCCAUGCCGCGUGUAUGAAGAAGGCCUUCGGGUUGUAAAGUACUUUCAGCGGGGAGGAAGGGAGUAAAGUUAAUACCUUUGCUCAUUGACGUUACCCGCAGAAGAAGCACCGGCUAACUCCGUGCCAGCAGCCGCGGUAAUACGGAGGGUGCAAGCGUUAAUCGGAAUUACUGGGCGUAAAGCGCACGCAGGCGGUUUGUUAAGUCAGAUGUGAAAUCCCCGGGCUCAACCUGGGAACUGCAUCU